rnacentral:rRNA from 1 species
GGUUAAGCGACUAAGCGUACACGGUGGAUGCCCUGGCAGUCAGAGGCGAUGAAGGACGUGUUAAUCUGCGAUAAGCGUCGGUAAGGUGAUAUGAACCGUUAUAGCCGGCGAUUUCCGAAUGGGGAAACCCAGUGUGAUUCGUCACACUAUCGUUAACUGAAUACAUAGGUUAACGAAGCGAACCGGGGAACUGAAACAUCUAAGUACCCCGAGGAAAAGAAAUCAACCGAGAUUCCCCCAGUAGCGGCGAGCGAACGGGGAGCAGCCCAGAGUCUGAAUCAGCUUGUGUGUUAGUGGAACGGUCUGGAAAGUCCGACGGUACAGGGUGAUAGUCCCGUACACCAAAAUGCACAGGUUGUGAACUCGAAGAGUAGGGCGGGACACGUGGUAUCCUGUCUGAAUAUGGGGGGACCAUCCUCCAAGGCUAAAUACUCCUGACUGACCGAUAGUGAACCAGUACCGUGAGGGAAAGGCGAAAAGAACCCCGGCGAGGGGAGUGAAAAAGAACCUGAAACCGUGUACGUACAAGCAGUGGGAGCCUCUUUAUGGGGUGACUGCGUACCUUUUGUAUAAUGGGUCAGCGACUUAUAUUCUGUAGCAAGGUUAACCGUAUAGGGGAGCCGAAGGGAAACCGAGUCUUAACUGGGCGUUAAGUUGCAGGGUAUAGACCCGAAACCCGGUGAUCUAGCCAUGGGCAGGUUGAAGGUUGGGUAACACUAACUGGAGGACCGAACCGACUAAUGUUGAAAAAUUAGCGGAUGACUUGUGGCUGGGGGUGAAAGGCCAAUCAAACCGGGAGAUAGCUGGUUCUCCCCGAAAGCUAUUUAGGUAGCGCCUCGUGAACUCAUCUUCGGGGGUAGAGCACUGUUUCGGCUAGGGGUCAUCCCGACUUACCAACCCGAUGCAAACUGCGAAUACCGAAGAAUGUUAUCACGGGAGACACACGGCGGGUGCUAACGUCCGUCGUGAAGAGGGAAACAACCCAGACCGCCAGCUAAGGUCCCAAAGUCAUGGUUAAGUGGGAAACGAUGUGGGAAGGCACAGACAGCCAGGAUGUUGGCUUAGAAGCAGCCAUCAUUUAAAGAAAGCGUAAUAGCUCACUGGUCGAGUCGGCCUGCGCGGAAGAUGUAACGGGGCUAAACCAUGCACCGAAGCUGCGGCAGCGACACUAUGUGUUGUUGGGUAGGGGAGCGUUCUGUAAGCCGUUGAAGGUGUAUCGUGAGGUAUGCUGGAGGUAUCAGAAGUGCGAAUGCUGACAUAAGUAACGAUAAUGCGGGUGAAAAACCCGCACGCCGGAAGACCAAGGGUUCCUGUCCAACGUUAAUCGGGGCAGGGUGAGUCGACCCCUAAGGCGAGGCCGAAAGGCGUAGUCGAUGGGAAACAGGUUAAUAUUCCUGUACUUGGUGUUACUGCGAAGGGGGACGGAGAAGGCUAUGUUAGCCGGGCGACGGUUGUCCCGGUUUAAGCAUGUAGGCGGAGGUUCCAGGUAAAUCCGGUACCUUUUUAACGCUGAGGUGUGAUGACGAGGCACUACGGUGCUGAAGUAACAAAUGCCCUGCUUCCAGGAAAAGCCUCUAAGCAUCAGGUAACACGAAAUCGUACCCCAAACCGACACAGGUGGUCAGGUAGAGAAUACCAAGGCGCUUGAGAGAACUCGGGUGAAGGAACUAGGCAAAAUGGUGCCGUAACUUCGGGAGAAGGCACGCUGAUAUGUAGGUGAAGUGAUUUACUCAUGGAGCUGAAAUCAGUCGAAGAUACCAGCUGGCUGCAACUGUUUAUUAAAAACACAGCACUGUGCAAACACGAAAGUGGACGUAUACGGUGUGACGCCUGCCCGGUGCCGGAAGGUUAAUUGAUGGGGUUAUCCGUAAGGAGAAGCUCUUGAUCGAAGCCCCGGUAAACGGCGGCCGUAACUAUAACGGUCCUAAGGUAGCGAAAUUCCUUGUCGGGUAAGUUCCGACCUGCACGAAUGGCGUAAUGAUGGCCAGGCUGUCUCCACCCGAGACUCAGUGAAAUUGAACUCGCUGUGAAGAUGCAGUGUACCCGCGGCAAGACGGAAAGACCCCGUGAACCUUUACUAUAGCUUGACACUGAACACUGGUCCUUGAUGUGUAGGAUAGGUGGGAGGCUUUGAAGUGUGGACGCCAGUCUGCAUGGAGCCAUCCUUGAAAUACCACCCUUUAAUGGCUGGUGUUCUAACGUGGACCCGUUACCCGGGUUGCGGACAGUGUCUGGUGGGUAGUUUGACUGGGGCGGUCUCCUCCUAAAGAGUAACGGAGGAGCACGAAGGUUAGCUAAUCCUGGUCGGACAUCAGGAGGUUAGUGCAAAGGCAUAAGCUAGCUUGACUGCGAGAGUGACGGCUCGAGCAGGUGCGAAAGCAGGUCUUAGUGAUCCGGUGGUUCUGAAUGGAAGGGCCAUCGCUCAACGGAUAAAAGGUACUCCGGGGAUAACAGGCUGAUACCGCCCAAGAGUUCAUAUCGACGGCGGUGUUUGGCACCUCGAUGUCGGCUCAUCACAUCCUGGGGCUGAAGUAGGUCCCAAGGGUAUGGCUGUUCGCCAUUUAAAGUGGUACGCGAGCUGGGUUUAGAACGUCGUGAGACAGUUCGGUCCCUAUCUGCCGUGGGCGCUGGAGAAUUGAGGGGGCUGCUCCUAGUACGAGAGGACCGGAGUGGACGCAUCACUGGUGUUCGGGUUGUCAUGCCAAUGGCAUUGCCCGGUAGCUAAAUGCGGAAGAGAUAAGUGCUGAAAGCAUCUAAGCACGAAACUUGCCCCGAGAUGAGUUCUCCCUGAGACUUUAAGUCUCCUGAAGGAACGUUGAAGACGACGACGUUGAUAGGUCGGGUGUGUAAGUGUAGCGAUACAUUGAGCUAACCGAUACUAAUGAACCGUGAGGCUUAACCUU